GAAUUUCGGUCAUCGAUGGGGAUGCGUUCCAUUAGCUUGUUGGCGGGGUAACGGCCCACCAAGGCAUCGAUGGAUAGGGGUUCUGAGAGGAAGGUCCCCCACAUUGGAACUGAGACACGGUCCAAACUCCUACGGGAGGCAGCAGUGAGGAAUAUUGGUCAAUGGGCGCUAGCCUGAACCAGCCAAGUAGCGUGAAGGAUGACUGCCCUAUGGGUUGUAAACUUCUUUUAUAUGGGAAUAAAGUGCAGUAUGUAUACUGCUUUGCAUGUACCUUAUGAAUAAGGAUCGGCUAACUCCGUGCCAGCAGCCGCGGUAAUACGGAGGAUCCGAGCGUUAUCCGGAUUUAUUGGGUUUAAAGGGAGCGUAGGCGGGUUGUUAAGUCAGUUGUGAAAGUUUGCGGCUCAACCGUAAAAUUGCAGUUGAUACUGGCAUCCUUGAGUACAGUAGAGGUAGGCGGAAUUCGUGGUGUAGCGGUGAAAUGCUUAGAUAUCACGAAGAACUCCGAUUGCGAAGGCAGCCUGCUGGACUGUAACUGACGCUGAUGCUCGAAAGUGUGGGUAUCAAACAGGAUUAGAUACCCUGGUAGUCCACACAGUAAACGAUGAAUACUCGCUGUUUGCGAUAUACAGUAAGCGGC
rnacentral:rRNA from 1 species